CUCAGGCAAAAUUAAAAAUAUACAAAUUAGAAUGAAAAAAUGCAAUAAUGGAAGGAUUGACAGAUAUACAUGCUUCAUUUUGUGAAAAUGGUGAGGAUUUACAGUAAAACAGGAAACAAAGAAGGAUGAUGGGAGAAACAAAAUUACAGGUUGUUUCUUAUGAUGUCUAUGACGCCUUGUCACAAAGACCAGUACUCUGAUGAGAUGUGGGAGCCGGAAUAAUGCCAAUAAGGAGGAGGGCAGGAAGCAGUUUCUGGAAGUGAAUUUGAAGAUGAUGAGAAAAACUUUCCAUUUUCCAAAAAGUCACUAAAGAGUUUGACACAUUUGACACGGAGAGCCUUACAGAAUAUGGAAAUGAAAUCUAAUGUAAGUGAAUCAAGAUCAGAUUCUUGGAAGAGUUCCAGCUCAAUGUCACUUAGAAGAUUAGAUGGUCCUUCCAGUAGAGACACUGAAUUGUGAAGGAGGAGAUGUGGGUUGUCAGAACAGCAUUGGAGGAGUUCAACGAGUCUUCUGUAGAUGGUGCCCAUGUCGCUUGCACACAUGUUAUUGUCUUCUGCAAUACUCAUGUAAGGUUCUGUAAUUUUGAUGGAGAGUAUACCAAGACAUCUCACUAUUGCCAGAAUGAAUUUAUUUUGUAAAGCACAAAGAAUGAAUUUCUGCACCUGAUUUAAAGACGGUUUUGUAGAAGAAAGAUAUUGCAAAAUGUGUUUUUUGAGAUAGAAUGUUCUUGCAGAAUUGAAGAAAACAGUAUUGAAUCUAGUGCCUCUGUGAUUCAUGAUAGGAAUUUUUGAAAUGUUGAGAGUAUCUUUAAUGUAGGUGGACGUAAACAGAGGAUCUCCAGGGCCAUGGAAAAGUUUAGACACGGAACGCAGAAGAUAAGACGUGUUUGAUUCAGACCAGGAAGAGGAAUUUAUAUUUAAUUUGUGUUCUUUUUCAAUGUUACUUAUUUCCUUAAGACAGACAUCUGAGAAUUGGAGAAGGGGGUGAACUGCACAUUUAAAAGAAUGGUAUUUGUCGUUAUUUACACUGGAUCCAAGAAUUUUGUUAACUUUUUCUUCGGUUGCACUCCUAUCCGUCAUGAAAUUUGAAUUUUUUUCUAAAAUUUGACCUUGAUCUGAACUGACCGUAUCAUCCAAAAUUUCGUUGGUGCAGUCGACAUAUGUGGAGCUUUUGGAAUCGGCUACUUCUCUUAAACCCAUUGUGAGAGUUUUUUGAUUUGUUGAUACCUCAACCCCAUAAAAGUGCCUUCC